rnacentral:rRNA from 1 species
UACGGAGGGAGCUAGCGUUGUUCGGAAUUACUGGGCGUAAAGCGCACGUAGGCGGCUUUGUAAGUUAGAGGUGAAAGCCCGGGGCUCAACCCCGGAAUUGCCUUUAAGACUGCAUCGCUUGAAUCCGGGAGAGGGUAGUGGAAUUCCCAGUGUAGCGGUGAAAUGCGUAGAUAUUGGGAGGAACACCAGUGGCGAAGGCGGCUCACUGGACCGGAACUGACGCUGAGGCACGAAAGCGUGGGGAGCAAACAGG